rnacentral:rRNA from 1 species
UACGUAGGGGGCUAGCGUUGCUCGGAAUCACUGGGCGUAAAGCGCACGUAGGCGGAUUGUUAAGUCAGGGGUGAAAUCCUGGAGCUCAACUCCAGAACUGCCUUUGAUACUGGCGAUCUUGAGUCCGGGAGAGGUGAGUGGAACUGCGAGUGUAGAGGUGAAAUUCGUAGAUAUUCGCAAGAACACCAGUGGCGAAGGCGGCUCACUGGCCCGGUACUGACGCUGAGGUGCGAAAGCGUGGGGAGCAAACAGG